rnacentral:rRNA from 1 species
ACGGGUGAGUAACGCGUAGGUAACCUGCCUGUUAGAGGGGGAUAACUAUUGGAAACGAUAGCUAAUACCGCAUAACAGUAUGUAACACAUGUUAGAUGCUUGAAAGAUGCAAUUGCAUCGCUAGUAGAUGGACCUGCGUUGUAUUAGCUAGUAGGUAGGGUAAUGGCCUACCUAGGCGACGAUACAUAGCCGACCUGAGAGGGUGAUCGGCCACACUGGGACUGAGACACGGCCCAGACUCCUACGGGAGGCAGCAGUAGGGAAUCUUCGGCAAUGGGGGGAACCCUGACCGAGCAACGCCGCGUGAGUGAAGAAGGUUUUCGGAUCGUAAAGCUCUGUUGUUAAGGAAGAACGAGUGUGAGAAUGGAAAGUUCAUACUGUGACGGUACUUAACCAGAAAGGGACGGCUAACUACGUGCCAGCAGCCGCGGUAAUACGUAGGUCCCGAGCGUUGUCCGGAUUUAUUGGGCGUAAAGCGAGCGCAGGCGGUUAGAAAAGUCUGAAGUGAAAGGCAGUGGCUCAACCAUUGUAGGCUUUGGAAACUGUUUAACUUGAGUGCAGAAGGAGAGAGUGGAAUUCCAUGUGUAGCGGUGAAAUGCGUAGAUAUAUGGAGGAACACCGGUGGCGAAAGCGGCUCUCUGGUCUGUAACUGACGCUGAGGCUCGAAAGCGUGGGGAGCGAACAGGAUUAGAUACCCU